ensembl:lncRNA
GCACAGAGUUGGACACAACUGAAGUGCCUUAGCAGCAGCAGCAAAAGAUUACAUGAACAUUUCCUAGUUGAGGUAAAUCUAAGAGAGAUGUCAAUAACAUCUCUUAUGAGUGAAAAGGAUGAGGUCAUUGAUUGUAGUGGGACAAACUCCCAAGAUACAUGUGCCAAGAAGUAAAGCAACGCAUUCUUGGAUUCCAGAAGAAAGGAUGUGGGUUUUCAAUAUUUAUGUGCUAGCCAGUUAAGUGUUAUGAAGCUACAAACAGUAGGUAAACUAGUACAAGCAGCUCCCAGUGUUAGUCUUUCAGAGAACGCACACAGCAGGCAGCAAAGUUAGGGAUUGUAUGAUUACAAAUGAGUCACGCAUUUCAAGAACUAGGAGUAAUUUCAGACCAUUGAUUUCUAAAGAGACAGGGAAAGUUUUCCACAAAUGACACAUGAAGUGCAAAUUCCUAUAAACAGGGAAGUGUGAAGGACACUAGCUUGCUGCUGCUUUAGGACCUGUGUCAGGGUAACAGAGAUGACAGAAUGUUGCCCAAAGGCCUCUUUCUCGUGUUACCUUUGUUGGGCAAACUCAUCAAAGGACUUGGAAAGAAAGAGGGUGGGUUGGAUUCCAAAUGUACUAAAUCUCUUCCGUUAAUUAAGAUGGGAAAAUGCUAGGGAAGGUUCAAGAAUAUUGUAAAGGGUUAUCAAAAAUUUUGACAGUGCUGUGGAGAGCCAUAAUGGCACCUGAGGUAAAAGGAAAAAUUCAUCAACUACCCAUUUAACAUUAAUGAAUUUUACAGCACGUAUUAUAAAUCACAACUCAAUUUAAACAAGUAUUAUGAAAAAAGACUCCCUCCCCCGGAGGAUAUGGGGGAUGAUAGGGCUGAAAGUAUUUUGUCUAGGACAUCAAUUCCCCCUAGCUCUUAUAUAAAGGAUGAAGAAGGGAUAAUAGAACCUGACCUGGAGUAGGGGGAUAAGGAGGCUCCGAGGAGAAGGAACUCAAGACCUCAGGCAAAGCAGGUCCAUGGUCACCAUCAGUAGCUGCCAGUUUCACACAGCAUACAACUAUGCUGGAGGCCCUGGUGGAAGGAGAGACAUCUCCCCAGGGUCUGCAGAGCUUGAGAAGACAGAACACAGGCCGGACUAGCUGAGCCCACCCCCCCCCCCGCAACUCCAAAAAUGCAGACACUCAGUUUCUUCUGUGUCAUAUUCCCUUUUGAGAAGGAGCAUAGGAUGCAAGAUAGGUUAGAAGGGGAGAAACAGCCGUGACAGAGAAUUUUAAUUGUCUUAAUUAAAUUUACCUCAAAUCCAUGUUCAACACUCAAGGAGAUAUAAUCUUAUAGUUUUAUUACUUAUUUAUUUUGUUGGCAGGAAGGCGGAUUUGAGAAUAAGAUGAAUUGGUACAGAAAACAAAAUAUUUAUUACUUAUUUCACAAAGUACUUAAGCAUGGAGUGUAAUUCAAUUUUGUUAGAGGAGAAUUAAAUUGAGGUAAUACAAUUAAAGCCUUGUCUUGUAUUUGACUCACUGCUAGGAGGCAGUUUCAAGGUAGCAAGUAGCUUAGCUAAUAAGCAUGGAUUAUACUGUAUUAAAAGUCUCCAUGGGUAUGGAAAUCAUGCAAAUCUUGCAGUUAGGCUUCAAGAACAUUAAGUUCUAGCAAUAUAACAAGACAGCAAUGCUUAUGUUGUAGCAAGUCAGAGGAGUUUCUUUUUUUUAAUUCAUAUUUUUAUGAUAAAAAAUAAACAAGGAUAAGCAUAUGCCAAAGCAUGGUUAUGAACAGAGGAGUAAAAUUUUGGGGAAUUUUACUCUGGGUUACUAUAUGAUACAUUACUACCAUUUCAUAAGAAAUUUUUGUUCAUAAU